CCGCCUCUGACUUCAGUUGGGAAGAGGAUGGUGGCGGGAGAUGGAGGAUGAGGCCCUCCUCAUCUGCUUGGCCAAGGCUGUUCUGCUCUGCGGUUUGUGGGUUUGACACUCGUGGCCUUGAAAGCAAGCCUCCCGGCCCAGCCUCCAUCUUCCUGACAGUAGUGCUGCCUUCUCAAGACAUGGCUUUGAGCAAACUACAGAUGUGCUUCCUUUCAUCUUGAAAUCCAGCCUGGGAGCAAGCUGUGAGCCUACUGCCUUCCCUCUCCCACCUGCAGCUCCCGGGCCCUGUGCACAUUUGUUUAUCUGGAUGCUUGCUGAGUGCACACCAUGCUCACCUGUCUGGUCAUCUAUUUCCUAGAAGCUUUGGGGGCCAGAUCCUGGGACGAACCAGGCAUCUCCAGAAUUCCUUCCCCAGCAGGCGGGUUACUUUGAGGCCAGAGCUUACUCCUGGCUAAAGACUCACUGCAAGAUUGACUGUGAUUGAUUUCUAAUCUGGGGGCGACCCGCGAUGGCGCAGCCCCUUCACCAGAUGUGUUUGUGGUGGAAGUUAUCCAAGUGACACGGCACCAAAACCUGUGAUCGGUGGCAAAUCCGUACAGGUCUGCGGCAGCCGCAAUUCUCACCUCCUCAGAAGAAAGAAUUCGACCAAGGGGCAGAAGGCAGAAGAAGAGACCGAGACAAGUUUUAGAGCAGGAGUGACAUUUAUUAAAAAGCUUUAGAGCAGGAAUGAAAGGAAGGAAAGGACGCUUGGAAGGGGGCCAAGCAGGUGACUUGAAGGACAGGUGUGUGGUUUGACCUUCGACUUGGGGUUUUAUAUGUUGGCACGCUUCCGGGGUCUGGCCUGCCUUCUCCCCUGAUUCUUCCCUUGGGGUGGGCUGUCCACAUGUGCAGUGGCUGCCAGCCCUUGGGAGGAGCACGCGCUAUGUGUUUACUGGAGUUGCGCGCCUGCUUACCUGAGGCGUUGUUCCCUUACCUGUCAAAUGUCCCUAGGAGGCCAUAGACCAGUUACACUCCACAAUUUUGCCUUUUAAUACACAUGCUUGAGCCCACUCACCCAAUGCCUGAGGUCUUAUGGGGAAGGAUUUUUCUGUCUGUUGGGAGGCUGCCUUUCCCUGGCGUUGGCUGUGACCAAUUAUUAUUUUAGAGAGACAGUUAACAGCCACCCGACCAACACUGAUGGUCGCCUGACAUUCCUGGUUGGGAGGGCCCUCUCCUGCCCUGCUCAUGUCUGACCAGCUGCCUACUGUAACAGAUGGAACAAUAACUCAAGAGAAGCCAUCAGAGCAGGUCACCUGGCACCUCCUGGCCCCUGCCUCGCCUGCAUUCCAGACCCCCUCUACACGUCCCUCUACAAAUUGAAGAGUGGCCAUUUUUGGAAAGGAUUCCGGCCAAUCUCCCCCUUGCUAGCAUGAGAAUGAAGCUCACGCUCUUUCUUUUUUCUUUCUUUUCUUUUUUUUUUUGAGACGGAG
rnacentral:lncRNA from 1 species